rnacentral:rRNA from 1 species
AGCGAACGCUGGCGGCAGGCUUAACACAUGCAAGUCGAACGCCCCGCAAGGGGAGUGGCAGACGGGUGAGUAACACGUGGGAACGUACCCUUUGGUUCGGAAUAACUUGGGGAUACUCAAGCUAAUACCGGAUAAGCCCUUAUGGGGAAAGGUUUACUGCCGAAGGAUCGGCCCGCGUCUGAUUAGCUAGUUGGUGAGGUAAUGGCUCACCAAGGCGACGAUCAGUAGCUGGUCUGAGAGGAUGAUCAGCCACACUGGGACUGAGACACGGCCCAGACUCCUACGGGAGGCAGCAGUGGGGAAUAUUGGACAAUGGGGGCAACCCUGAUCCAGCCAUGCCGCGUGAGUAAUGAAGGCCUUAGGGUUGUACAGCUCUUUUACCCGGGACGAUAAUGACUGUACCGGGAGAAUAAGCCCCGGCUAACUUCGUGCCAGCCGCCGCGGUAA